rnacentral:rRNA from 1 species
CGGGACGGGUGAGUAAUGUCUGGGAAACUGCCUGAUGGAGGGGGAUAACCACUGGAAACGGUAGCUAAUACCGCAUAACGUCGCAAGACCAAAGAGGGGGACCUUCGGGCCUCUUGCCAUCGGAUGUGCCCAGAUGGGAUUAGCUAGUAGGUGGGGUAACGGCUCACCUAGGCGACGAUCCCUAGCUGGUCUGAGAGGAUGACCAGCCACACUGGAACUGAGACACGGUCCAG